GUGCUUGCAUUGGCAGCACCUAUACUAAAAUUGGAAUGAUAGAGAAUAUUAGCAUAGCCCUUGAGCAAGGGAGACACACAAAUUCAUGAAGCAUUAGAUAUUUUU